rnacentral:rRNA from 1 species
CUCAAAGGAAUUGACGGGGGCCCGCACAAGCGGUGGAGCAUGUGGUUUAAUUCGAUGAUACGCGAGGAACCUUACCAGGGCUUAACAUCUAAAUUAAUAGGGUUAGAGAUCGAAUUGUCCUCAAGGACAGAUGACAAGGUGCUGCAUGGUUGUCGUCAGCUCGUGUCGUGAGAUGUUAGGUUAAGUCCUAUAACGAGCGCAACCCCUGUUGUUAGUUGCCAGCACGUUAAGUCGGGAACUCUAAAGAGACUGCCGGUGAAAACCCUGAGGAAGGUGGGGAUGACGUCAAAUCAUCACGGCCCUUACGUCCUGGGCUACACACGUGCUACAAUGGUAGGUACAGAGAGUUGCCACAUCGCGAGAAGGAGCAGAUCUAGAAAGCCGAUCACAGUUCGGAUCGGAGUCUGCAACUCGACUGCAUGAAGCCGGAAUCGCUAGUAAUCGCGCAUCAGCCAUGCCGCGGUGAAUGCGUUCCCGGGCCUUGUACACACCGCCCGUCAAGCCAUGGAAGCUGGGGGUGCCCGAAGUCAGUCAUCCCCAAUAAGGAGCUGCCGAGGGUUAAAUCGAUGACUAGGGCUAAGUCGUAACAAGGUAACC